rnacentral:snRNA from 1 species
GUAGGAGGGCGCGGCGGUCGC